AGAGUUUGAUCCUGGCUCAGGACGAACGCUGGCGGCGUGCUUAACACAUGCAAGUCGAGCGAUGAAGCUCCUUCGGGAGUGGAUUAGCGGCGGACGGGUGAGUAACACGUGGGUAACCUGCCUCAUAGAGGGGAAUAGCCUUUCGAAAGGAAGAUUAAUACCGCAUAAGAUUGUAGUACCGCAUGGUACAGCAAUUAAAGGGGUAAUCCGCUAUGAGAUGGACCCGCGUCGCAUUAGCUAGUUGGUGAGGUAACGGCUCACCAAGGCGACGAUGCGUAG
rnacentral:rRNA from 1 species